AGAGUUUGAUCAUGGCUCAGGAUGAACGCUAGCGGCAGGCUUAACACAUGCAAGUCGAGGGGCAGCACAGGUAGCAAUACUUGGUGGCGACCGGCGCACGGGUGCGUAACGCGUAUGCAACCUACCUUAUACAGGGGGAUAGCCCGGGGAAACCCGGAUUAACACCCCAUAAAACUUAGUAAAGCAUUUUACAGAGUUAAAAACUCCGGUGGUAUAAGAUGGGCAUGCGUGACAUUAGUUAGUUGGUAGGGUAACGGCCUACCAAGACGAUGAUGUCUAGGGGUUCUGAGAGGAUUAUCCCCCACACUGGUACUGAGACACGGACCAGACUCCUACGGGAGGCAGCAGUGAGGAAUAUUGGGCAAUGGAGGCAACUCUGACCCAGCCAUGCCGCGUGCAGGAAGACGGCCUUAUGGGUUGUAAACUGCUUUUAUACAAGGCGAAUUCUGAUACGCGUAUCAGGUUGACGGUAUUGUAUGAAUAAGGAUCGGCUAACUCCGUGCCAGCAGCCGCGGUAAUACGGAGGAUCCGAGCGUUAUCCGGAUUUAUUGGGUUUAAAGGGUGCGUAGGCGGUUUAUUAAGUCAGUGGUGAAAUCUCCGGGCUCAACCCGGAUCUUGCCAUUGAUACUGGUAGACUUGAGUACAAAUGAUGUGGGUGGAAUUGGACAAAGCGGUGAAAUGCAUAGAUAUGUCCAGGAACUCCGAUUGCGAAGGCAGCUCACAAAGAUGUAACUGACGCUGAUGCACGAAAGCGUGGGUAGCGAACAGGAUUAGAUACCCUAGUAGUCC
rnacentral:rRNA from 1 species